AGAAGCCCUACGGGGCCCACCAGCUGGGUGCUCCUUGAAAAUGACCACAAGCCAUGGGGCCUUCUGAACAGGCGCCUGUCCUGAGCGGUUCCUCCAGAACCUUCUGUGCUUCCACAUCAGGAAACAGUUCCAGCCAGACCACUGACCCACUGCCCCAGAGCAGCCGGCGAACACGGAGUUGGUGGGAAUCGGGGCGCUGACGGCUGACCCGGGCAGCGUGGAGCUGCUGCAUCGGGCGGUGCUUUUCAAGUCUCGGAAGCAGGACGUGAGCAUCCCUUCUGUGUUUGCGCCUCGUCAUACAUCCAGGGGAGAGGUGCUUGUCCCUGCGGAUUAAUUCCCAG
rnacentral:lncRNA from 1 species